rnacentral:rRNA from 1 species
AGAGUUUGAUCAUGGCUCAGGAUGAACGCUGGCGGUAUGCCUAACACAUGCAAGUCGAACGAUGUCUUCGGACAUAGUGGCGGACGGGUGAGUAACGCGUGAGAAUCUGCCUCUAGGAUGGGGAUAACGGUUGGAAACGACCGCUAACACCCAAUAUGCCGUAAGGUGAAAAAUUUAUUGCCUGGAGAGGAGCUCGCGUCUGAUUAGCUAGUUGGUGGGGUAAGAGCUCACCAAGGCCUCGAUCAGUAGCUGGUCUGAGAGGAUGAGCAGCCACACUGGGACUGAGACACGGCCCAGACUCCUACGGGAGGCAGCAGUGGGGAAUUUUCCGCAAUGGGCGAAAGCCUGACGGAGCAAUACCGCGUGAGGGAGGAAUGCCUUUGGGUUGUAAACCUCUUUUCUCAGGGAAGAAGAUCUGACGGUACCUGAGGAAUAAGUAUCGGCUAACUCCGUGCCAGCAGCCGCGGUAAUACGGAGGAUGCAAGCGUUAUCCGGAAUCAUUGGGCGUAAAGCGUCCGCAGGUGGUUUCCAAAGUCUGCUGUUAAAGACUGGAGCUCAACUCCGGAACGGCGGUGGAAACUUGGAAACUAGAGUUCGGUAGGGGUAGCAGGAAUUCCCAGUGUAGCGGUGAAAUGCGUAGAUAUUGGGAAGAACAUCGGUGGCGAANGCGUGCUACUGGACCGUAACUGACACUCAGGGACGAAAGCUAGGGGAGCGAAAGGGAUUAGAUACCCCUGUAGUCCUAGCUGUAAACGAUGGAAACUAGGUGUGGCUUGUAUCGA